rnacentral:lncRNA from 1 species
UAUGUUGCUGCAAAAUUUCAGUCCCGAAUUAAAGACGGAAAAUACUAGGCAGAGCAAGAGAAUCCAAUUUUAGGAGCAUGCUUAUUGUGAUAUCCUCAGUGAUUUCUUUUACAAUACAUUCUGCUCAGGCCUGUGAACUUUGUUAAACUGUCCAGGUAAGAAAAAUAUGCAUAGUCACACUUAGUUCAUAAAAAUGUUUUUCAAACAUUAGG